CUGGGGCUGGGAUCCACAGUGAUCCACUGGGAUCACAGUGUGGGACUGGGAUCCACCGGGCCUGGGAUCCACAGGAAAAACAGUUUUUUCCUGGCAGAGGAAUCAGCAAAGGCAAAGGUGGUAGCAUGUUUAUUGUUAAAGGAAUGGGGCAAACCCAUGCUUUAUGAAGCCUGAUGCUUACACAAUUAUGGGAGCCUUCUUUGAAAAAAAAAUUUCAAAAUUACAAAUGCAAAAUUAGGUACAAAAGGGAAUAUUUACAAUGAGAAAUCACCACAAAUGGCAAGAUUUAAACAGCUGACAAAUUAAACAGCGCAAAAUCCAGGAAAAAAAAAAAACCAUGGUUGAUCAAAAUUUCUUCUUUUCUUUUCUUUUUUUUUUUUUGAGAUGGUGUCUUGCUCUGUCGCCCAGGCUGGAGUGCAGUGGUGCCAUCUCAGCUCACUGCAACCUCCGCCUCCCAGGUUCAAGCGAUUCUCCUGCCUCAGCCUCCUGCCUCAGCCUCCUGAGUAGCUGGGACUACAGGCACGUGCCACCAGGCCCGGCUAAUUUUUUGUAUUUUUAGUACAGACGGGGUUUCACCGUUUAGCCAGUAUGGUCGCUAUCUCCUGACCUCGUGAUCCGCCCGCCUCAGCCUCCCAAAGUGCUGGGAUUACAGGCGCCAUCUCGCCUGGCCUUUUCUUAUUAAUAAUUUAGAAAUGUUUAUUCAGCUUCACAACUUGUUAGUGAUAUCAAGUACUUUUUGUUUUGUUUUUUUUGAGAUGGAGUCUUGCUCUGUCCCCC
rnacentral:lncRNA from 10 species